rnacentral:tRNA from 1 species
GGCCGGUUAGCUCAGUCGGUUGAGCAUGGCGCUAGCAAUGCCAAGGUCGCGGAUUCAGUUCCUGUUCGGUCC